UCCCGUGGGAACAGCUCCCACCACCAAGUCCCUGAGUGAGUCUCUGUCCCCCAGCGUGAGCUCCAGCACUCUGUCCACGUCCACCUCCGCCUCCUCGCAGAUCUCCAGCACCACCUUUGAAAGCGUGAGAAGGAGCUGGCCACCAAGGUGAGAAAAACGUGGGCUUAGUGGGCGUUCUUGUUGCUGCCUUCUUCCUUCUCUGCUCGGUCUUGUUCCUGUUGUGUUGUAGUGCCUGCGCCUUCUGACACACACCUUCAAUACUGAAUACAACCAGCUGGUGAACAGCAUCAGUGACUGCAAGCUUUCUCUCAUCUCACCGAUCGGACGUGAUCCAUCCGUGACGAGCUUCAGCAGUGCCACCCUCACCCCUUCCUCUACCUGCCCCUCUCUCUCGGACUCGCGCUGUGGCUCCAUGGGCCAGAAGACCCCUGAGAACAGCUCACGUGCCUCCAGUCCCUCCUGCUCAGACUGUGAAAACUUCCCGAUGGUUCCCACUCUGGAGACCUCCUACCUUGC